GACGAACGCUGGCGGCGUGCCUAAUACAUGCAAGUAGAACGCACAGUUUAUACCGUAGCUUGCUACACCAUAGACUGUGAGUUGCGAACGGGUGAGUAACGCGUAGGUAACCUGCCUGGUAGCGGGGGAUAACUAUUGGAAACGAUAGCUAAUACCGCAUAAUAUUAAUUAUUGCAUGAUAAUUAAUUGAAAGGUGCAAUUGCACCACUACCAGAUGGACCUGCGUUGUAUUAGCUAGUAGGUGAGGUAACGGCUCACCUAGGCGACGAUACAUAGCCGACCUGAGAGGGUGAUCGGCCACACUGGGACUGAGACACGGCCCAGACUCCUACGGGAGGCAGCAGUAGGGAAUCUUCGGCAAUGGACGAAAGUCUGAACGAGCAACGCCGCGGGAGUGAAGAAGGUUUUCGGAUCGUAAAGCUCUGUUGUAAGAGAAGAACGGGUGUGAGAGUGGAAAGUUCACAAUGUGACGGUAUCUUACCAGAAAGGGACGGCUAACUACGUG
rnacentral:rRNA from 1 species